rnacentral:rRNA from 1 species
CGGCGAGUGAACCGGGAUGAGCUCAAAUUUAAAAUCUGGCGUCUUUCAGGCGUCCGAGUUGUAAUCUACAGAGGCGUUUUCCGCGCCGGACCGCGUCCAAGUCCCUUGGAAUAGGGUAUCAAAGAGGGUGACAAUCCCGUACUUGACGCGACAACCGGUGCUUUGUGAUACGUCCUCGACGAGUCGAGUUGUUUGGGAAUGCAGCUCUAAAUGGGUGGUAAAUUCCAUCUAAGGCUAAAUAUUGGCGAGAGACCGAUAGCGAACAAGUACCGUGAGGGAAAGAUGAAAAGCACUUUGGAAAGAGAGUUAAACAGCACGUGAAAUUGUUAAAAGGGAAACGAUUGAAGUCAGUCGUGUGGGGGGUAUUCAGCCGUCUCUGGCGGUGUAUUUGCCUCUCACGGGUCAACAUCAGUUUGAUCCGGUGGAAAAAGGCAGGAGGAAGGUGGCACCCUCGGGUGUGUUUAUAGCCUCCUGUCAAAUGCAUCGGGUCAGACUGAGGAACGCAGCUCGCAGCAAUGCCGGGGUUCGCCCACGUCCGAGCUUAGGAUGU